UUUUUUUUUUUUGAGGGGUACCUGGAAGUAUAAAAGUUAGAAACAAAUAAGUAGAGUGUAAAAAAGACUCAGGAGUUCCCAUUGUGGCUCCGCAGGUUAAGAACCCAACAUAGUGUCUGAGAGGAUGUGAGUUCAAUCCCAGACUAAGGAUCCAGCGUUGCCACAAGUUGCAAUGUAUAGGCUACAGAUGCAGCUCAGAUCCGGAGUGGCUAUGGUGGUGACGCAGGCCGGCAGCUGCAGAGCUAACUGGAUCCCUAGGCUGGGAACCUCCAUGUGCCUCAGGUUUGGCCCUAAAAAGCAAACAAACAAAAAAAGGGAAAUAAUGCAGAAGCCAGAUGAAAAGGUUAAAGGGACAAAGCAAGCACACUGAAGAAAACGAAGGGCUAGGGGUAAACACGGUCACAGCAGGUACAAAGCAAACUCAACUGCACUUCAAAACCGAAAACAAGUAAGUGGAAAUGGACAGGAAAAGGCUCAAAGGAAGCCCCGGAAGGAGACUGGAAAUUCCUCACCAGCCCAGCCUGCCCUGGAGGUCCCGGGGGUCCAGAUGCAGCAGGCAGGGAGCCUGGGCUACGUUUGGAUCAGGCAAUGUUCUGCCCCCUCCAUCUGGGGCCAGGGAAAUGCCUGGCCAGGACCUCUGCCCAGACCAUGGUCAGUGGACAAGCUGUGGGCCACAGGCUGCACUGGGCCUUCUCCUGGCUCUGGAGGCUCGGGGACAUACCCCCAGGGCCCCUCAACCGCACCACCAGCUCCUGUGAACCUCCCCACCUCUCCAGCUCACUCACUGCCUUCAGGAGAACCCACAGGUGGGCUGAGGCAUGCCAUGGGGCCAGGGAAAAUGCUGCCCCGGGGUCUCCUUGGCAGACAAGGAGCCAACCUGUUUGAACAAGUUCAAGACCACCCAAGAGCACAAAAGCCAACAGCUCUGUGAUUCACCUGAGAUGCCGGAACAGCUCCUCACCUGCCAGACAAAGUAGUGACCAUGAGGUCCCAGGGACAACCCUCUCCAGGACACCUCCACUCCACUGGAGACUCACCCCAAGUGGUCAGCUGUGUAUGAAAUGAUUUGACUGGCUAUUUCCAGUACCAACAGUGGGGAAAAAAUAGAUUAAACAGAUAAGAAGUUCCUCUAGUGGCCCAGGGGCUAGUAUCCAUGAGGACACGGGUUCAAUCCCUGGCCUUGCUCAGUGGGUUAAGGAUCUGUUGUUGCCAUGAGUUGUAGUGUAGGUUGAAGAUGCGGCUUGGAUCCCGUGUUGCUGUGGCUGUGGUGUAGGCUGGCAGCUGCAGCUCUGAUCCAACCCCUAGCCUGGGAACUUCCAUACGCUACAGGUGCCUCCCCUUCCAAAAAAAAGAUAGAAAAUCCAGAGUUCCAUCAUCCUGUUUCAGCACAACUUGGAAGGCUGAGGGAAAAUGCAGGUGAGUCACUGGAGAGUGGAAAAUGGAAAAUAUAUGACCUUAUCUAAAGGUGAAGUAAGGGAGCUGGGGCUGAGUCCUGCUGCCUUGAGUCCUUCCACUGAUGUAAAGACAGGUAGUCCUCCUGCUACUCCAGAAGUUCAUUAGCAAUUUAGUUGCUUGGCAAGGCAGCUCCAUUUCCCCAGGGCCAUGAUACCCAAGAUGCUUGGUGCUGAUGCUGCCAGCUGGCCCACACAAUCUGCUGAGCCCAUAAACCUGUGGUUCCCAGAACUGGAGAUUUCAUCAACCAAUUUUUGGUUUUGUUCUCAACUGGUUAAUUGGUUAUGUAAGACUGCUGAUAUUUUUUCAAGGAAAACAUUUUGUAAACUACCAUCUGAUAUC
rnacentral:lncRNA from 1 species